rnacentral:lncRNA from 1 species
UCUUUCCUCAGCCUCCCCUAGAUUGAACCAAUUUCUGGAAGUGCCAGAUAGGAUGUCUGCUGGCAUCUGGAUCAUCUGCAGAACCCUCAGAAAUCCAUUAGAAGAUCUUUGAGGUAGGUUGUCUAACAGUCACAAAUUCCUCCUCUCCCUCUCUGCUCCUUCCUUCAAGAGAUGGAGGAGUAUGGGGAAUUCCCACUGUAGCACAGCGGGUUAAGAAUCGGAAAUGGUCUCUAAGGGCAGCCAGACAAAUGAAGCAAUCUUGGAUCAAUCUUCCCAAGCAAUCCAUCUGAUGACUGGGGACCCCAGGAGAGAUCAGCAGAUUUGCCUGGCUGAGCCCAGUCCAAAUUGCCACCCAGAGACUCAUGAACAUCAACCCGCUAAGUUCUGGGCUGUUUUAUUAUACAGCUGUAGAUAAUGGAUACAACUGAUGGCAUAUCUCACUGCUGAGAAGAUCACAGUUGAUGCCAGUAUGGAAGAGGUCAGCAAUAAAAUCAUAACUUCCCUCUCUAAUUCACUCGGAACGUCUCAGAGACUCAAUAGAGCAGCUGCUAAUAUUCUGCUUGAACAUAUGGAUUUAUUUUUCUAUAAAAUUGAAAAUAAUGUCUUUUAGCUCACUCCAGUUUUGUUUCCGAGAUUUCUUCUAUUUUCUUCUGUCCCUCCUUUUUAGUUUCUCCUGUAAGAAUAGUCUACUUUUUAGAUAUUUUUAACUCUGCACAAAUUCCUCUCUCUACUUGGGGUAACACCAGAAUGUUGAAAUUUCCUUUGUUUUGUGGACACUCAUGGUUCUUUCACAUGUAGCUUCAUUACUUCCUCUUUUCCAUUCUUGAAGAUAGCCCUUAAUUAAGAAAGAAUAACCUACUUUAGAUUUCUUAAUUUUCUUUCAUUUUCUCCCCCCAAUUAAAUAUAUAAUCUUUAUAUUACAACUGUCUGAAACUUUCAGUAUUAUUUAUAUAAAUCUCUGCAUAGAACCCUGUCUUCUGUACAAUAGGAGUUAACAACAUGAAAAAGAAACUUAGAUCAUAUGUUAGGGAAAGUUGUUAGCUGUAAAACACUUGCAUAUCAAUGAUUCUUUAAAUUUCAUUUUUAGGAUGCAUCUCUCAUUAAAGAUUCUUCUGGGGAAGUGUCCAUCAUGGCUCAGUGGAAACAAGUCUGUUUAGUAUCCAUGAGGAUGCAGGUUCGAUCCCUGGCCUUGCUCAGUGGGUUAAGGAUCCGGCAUUGCCGUGAGAUGUGAUGUAGGUCACAGAUGCGGCUCAGAUCUGGCAUUGCUAUGGCUGUGGUAUAGGCCAGCGCUAUAGCUCCGAUUUGACUCCUAGCCUGGGAACCUCCAUAUGCUGCAGGUGUGGCCCUAAAAAGACAAAACAAAAAACAAAAAACAAAAACAAAAACAAGAUUCAUCUUGAGUUCUCACUAUGGCACAGUGGGUUAAGAAUCUAACUGCAGUGGCUUGGGUCACUGUGGAGGCAAGGGUUUAAUCCCCAGCCCAGCAAAGUGGGUUAAAGGAUCUGGAAUUGCCACGGCUGUGGUGUAGGUCACAGCUGUGGCUCAGAUUCAGUCCUUCCUGGGAACUUCCAUAUGCCUUGGGUGCAGCCCUAAAAAGACAAAAAAAAAAAAAAAAAAAANCUAAAGUGUGUGUGUUCUGUGAGUCAUUCACCUUCUAUAAAGCCCAUCAAUAGUAGGUUGUUUUUGCAUAAGUACAUGUGUGGAUUUAAUAAACUUUUACUAACAGAUAUUCUUUUUUUUGGGGGGCUGCACCCUUGGCAUAUGGAAGUUCCCAGGCUAGGGGUAGAAUCAGAGCUGUGGCUGCCAGCCUACAGCACAGCCACAGCAACGUGGGAUCUGAGCUGUAUCUGCGACCUAUAUCACAGCUCAUGGCAACGUCGGAUCCUUAACCCACUGAGGGAGGCCAGGGAUUGAACCUGGGUCCUCAUGAAUACUAGUCAGGUUCAUUACACUGCUGAGCCACAACUCCACUAACAAAUAUUCUUAAAAAUAAGAUAAAAUAAGAUGCAGAACAAAUGAUACCAGCAGAGUUACUCAGGAUGUUAAAGCUGGAGGAAGUAAUUUUGAUCAGGAAAAUCAAGGAAGACUUCCUGAAAGAGGAGGCUUUUAAGCUGCACCUUGAAAGACAAGCAGGACUAUGGUAGACUGAGAAGGGCAAAGAAGUAUAUUACAGGCUAAGAUACGGGCAAACCAGAAGCACAGACAUGUGAUGGCGUCGUGAUCUUGUGUGUUUGGAAUGUGGGGCUGGGGCUUCAUGUGGAUGGUGUGUGUCUGGGAAUGUCCAGCUUCACUUUACAGAAAAAGUACCUUGUGGCAGAUGCUCGAAAAUUGCUUAUUGAGGGAAGGAGGGCAGGAAGGAAGAAGAGAAAAAAGAAGAAACAAAGGAAGAAAAGAAAGACAAGGUCGGACAAAUAGAUGCUCAGUGUGGGUUAUGAGAACCAAGAAGCAAAUCAGGAUGUGGGACAGGAUGGGCCUCUUCCUACCUCCCCAAUUCUUCCCCUUUUUAUUAGAAGAGUAAAACGGGAAUAAGAAAAUAUUGUCUCUUUUCCUUCCACCCCUUGCCCAUCUGUAAAGAGCAUUUAUUUGAAAAGCUACAACAGGAAGUUCCCAUUAUGGCUCAGUGGUACUGAGCCCAGCUAGUACCCGUGGGGAUGUGGGUUCAAUCCCUGGCCUCACUCAGUGGGUUAAGAAUCUGGCGUUGCCGUCAGUUGCGGUGUAGUUCGCAGAAGAGGCUCCAAUCCCACAUUGCUGUGGCUGUGGUGUAGGCUGGCAGCUGUUAUCUCCAAUUCUUUUUUUUUUUUUUUUUUGUCUUUUGUCUUUUUAGAGCCACACCCGUGGCAUAUGGAGGUUCCCAGGCCAGGGGUCUAAUUGGAGCAGUUGCUGCUGGCCUACACCAGAGCCACAGCAACACCAGAUCCAAGCCGAGUCUGUGACCUACACAUAGGUCACGGUAACGCUGGAUCCUUAACCCACUGAGCGAGGCCAGGGAUCGAACCCACAACCUCAUGGUGUCUAGUUUCCAUGGAUUCGUUUCCACUGCGCCACGGUAGGAACUCCUGAUCUCCAAUUCUACCCCUAGCCUGGGAACUUGUCUUAUUGCACUGGGUGAGGAGAUCCCUGGUGGUUAAGGAUUUGGCGUUGUCACUGCUAUGGCUCUGGUUACUCAUUACCGUGGCACAGGUUCAAACCCUGGCCUGGGAACUUCCGCAUGCUGUGGGCAUGGCCAAAACAAAAACAAACAAACAAACCAAAAGACUGCUCUCGCACUGGCGGAAAUUCCAGUAUGAUGCUGAAAGGGAAUGGUGAGAGGGGACAUCCUUUUCUCAUCUCUGGUGGAGCCAUUUUUAAUGUUUCAUUUUGGUGUUGUUCAUGGCAAUUGUCCAGAAAUACACUUGGUUUUUGGAUACUGGUUUUAUAUCCUGACCAUUCUUUAGGCAGUCUUCCUAUUUAUUGUUUUUUUUUUUAGUGGUUGCACCCAAUUUCAUCAAAUAAUAUCCCAUAAUUUCCUUAAUCUUCUCCAACCUUUAGAUUUACAUGUUGUUUACAAGUUCUUUGUGAUUAUAGAUACUCCUGCUGGAAAUCAUUUUGCACCUUCAACCCUUUCCUUUGAGCUAUUUCUUUAGGCUAAGUUUACGGGUGUGGGUUAAAGGAAAUGACUAUUUUUUUAUGGUUCAAUAUUUUGCCAAAUUGCCCUUUAAUGGAGUGUGGAAAGCCUAAACCUGAAGCUGACAUGUGCUUAUUACUGAUAGCUUACCUAGCAUCUCACGAUGGGGUAUCCAGUCUACCAGAGUCAAUGGCUUUGUGACGUAACCCAAUUGUACGUUAAAAGGAACAGGUGGCCAUUUGGCGUGAUGGCAUGCGGUUUUGUGUCGGGUCCCUGUGACUUGCUUUAACUCCUGCCAUUAAUUCUCUUGUCGACAUGCACGAGGGAAGCUCCUUGGGAAGGAAGGCGGAAGUAAUCCCCUGGGAAUCACCCUCACUAUGGUCACAGCGAGAAACACACCUUGUGCCUUACGGGUGGUAACUGGGUACCCCUCUCCAUGUCACACAAAGCAAAUUAUUAUGACCCCCCCCCAGCAUCUUGCCGUGGUGGUUAAUCCCAUGCUCGCUAUGUACAGGGAACAGUGUUAUUCCCUUAAUAUCUUCUUAAUCCUCACUACCCUACUAGAUGGGUCGUGCUGUUCUCAGUCCCAUUGCGUAGACGAGUUCACGAAGUCUCUGGGAGAUUAAAUAACUGUUCGAACUUUUGCCAGUGGUAAGUGUUGAGCCAAGAGUUGAAGGCAGGUGGGUGUGGUCAGACGGAGGCCAAGCCCUAAAGGACUGGACUGCCCAUCAUGAUGCAUGUGAGGGACUGAAGGGCCAGGCUUUGCUGAGAUGAUAGUUUCGUAAAGAUACCAGCAUAGGGAGUUCCCAUCGUGGCUCUGCAGUAAUGAACCCGAUGUAUCCAUGAAGACAUGGGUUCAAUCCCUGGCCUUGCUCAGUGGGUUAAGGAUCUGGCAUUGCAGUGAGCUAUGGUGUAGGUCAAAGACGCCGCUGGGAUCUGGCAUUGCUGUGGCUGUGGUGUAGGCUGGCAGCAACAGCUCCAAUUCGACCCCUAGCCUUCAAACUUCCAUAUACCAUGGGUGUGGGCCUUAAAAAAAAUAAAAUAAAAUAAAGAUACCAACAUGGUAGAUCAUUUGCUCCUCCUGAAAAAUGGCCAGAAGAAAUCACAGCUCCACAAGGAAAUGUUUUACCACCAGGUAAACAGCUUCGGACCAGCAGAUGAAAUAAUUCAUGGUCCAGUUAAGUUUUGCGUAAGUUGGCCAGGUCUGUGCCUGUGGUCCGCUCUGGCCACAUGCACUGCUUCACAGGCCCUGCACGUGUUUGGCACGUCCCUACUUUCCCUUCCUCGUGCUCUCUCCCCAGACAGAGACGGAAACACCACGUUCUGGGAGGCUCCAAAACAUCCUUCUUUU